ensembl:lncRNA
GGUGAGAACAGAGGGAUGAAGGCAAGAAUAAAGACAGUAGGAGAUGGAAAGGAAAGAGGGGGGCAGUGCAUUAAAUAAAGAAGGGACAAGUGGCUUGGAGGCCUACGAGGUCAAUCACAGGAAACAAAGGCCAAAACGCUGCGUGCAAAAACCAACCUCAGGCUCUUUGAACGCAUCCAUGGUGAUGCGGAGCAGCUUGUAUUCACGGAGACAAAAGUCAAGCGUGGUCAGGUGAUAGUGAGAAGCCUGGUGGAAGAUGAGAAGGCCAGUUCUGAUGGAGCACUUGGACUGACGCACAGAUUGACACACAUCCAGCACAACCUGAACCUCUCGCUAUGUAGAAACUCUCAGAUCUCCCAGUGCC